rnacentral:rRNA from 1 species
AUUGAACGCUGGCGGCAGGCCUAACACAUGCAAGUCGAGCGGAAACGAUCCUAGCUUGCACCCAGGCGUCGAGCGGCGGACGGGUGAGUAAUGCAUAGGAAUCUGCCCAGUAGUGGGGGAUAGCCCGGGGAAACCCGGAUUAAUACCGCAUACGCCCUUUGGGGGAAAGCAGGGGAUCUUCGGACCUUGCGCUAUUGGAUGAGCCUAUGUCGGAUUAGCUUGUUGGUGGGGUAACGGCUCACCAAGGCAACGAUCCGUAGCUGGUCUGAGAGGAUGAUCAGCCACAUCGGGACUGAGACACGGCCCGAACUCCUACGGGAGGCAGCAGUGGGGAAUAUUGGACAAUGGGGGCAACCCUGAUCCAGCCAUGCCGCGUGUGUGAAGAAGGCUUUCGGGUUGUAAAGCACUUUCAGUGAGGAGGAAAACCUUACGACUAAUACUCGUGAGGCUUGACGUUACUCACAGAAGAAGCACCGGCUAACUCCGUG